rnacentral:rRNA from 1 species
UACAGAGGGGGCAAGCGUUAUUCGGAAUUAUUGGGCGUAAAGGGCGCGUAGGCGGCUUGGCAAGUGGAAGGUGAAAUCCCUCGGCUUAACCGAGGAACUGCCCUCCAAACUGCUUUGCUUGAGGCCGGGAGAGGUGAGUGGAAUUCCCAGUGUAGCGGUGAAAUGCGUAGAUAUUGGGAGGAACACCAGUGGCGAAGGCGGCUCACUGGACCGGUUCUGACGCUGAGGAACGAAAGCCAGGGGAGCGAACGGG